rnacentral:rRNA from 1 species
GAUGAACGCUGGCGGCGUGCCUAAUACAUGCAAGUCGAGCGAACAGACGAGGAGCUUGCUCCUUCGACGUUAGCGGCGGACGGGCGAGUAACACGUAGGUAACCUACCUAUAAGACUGGGAUAACUUCGGGAAACCGGAGCUAAUACCGGAUAAUAUUUCGAACCGCAUGGUUCGAUAGUGAAAGAUGGCUUUGCUAUCACUUAUAGAUGGACCUGCGCCGUAUUAGCUAGUUGGUAAGGUAACGGCUUACCAAGGCAACGAUACGUAGCCGACCUGAGAGGGUGAUCGGCCACACUGGAACUGAGACACGGUCCAGACUCCUACGGGAGGCAGCAGUAGGGAAUCUUCCGCAAUGGGCGAAAGCCUGACGGAGCAACGCCGCGUGAGUGAUGAAGGUCUUCGGAUCGUAAAACUCUGUUAUUAGGGAAGAACAAACGUGUAAGUAACCGUGCACGUCUUGACGGUACCUAAUCAGAAAGCCACGGCUAACUACGUG